CUACGUAGGAACCAAGCGUUGUCCGGAAUUACUGGGUGUAAAGGGUGCGCAGGCGGAUUUGUGCGUCAAGGGUUAAAUACCUCGGCUCAACCGAGGAAAUGCCUUUGAUACGGCAAGUCUUGAGUACGAGAGAGGAUGGUAGAAUUCCUGGUGUAGCGGUGAAAUGCGUAGAUAUCAGGAGGAAUACCCGUGGCGAAGGCGGCCAUCUGGCUCGUUACUGACGCUCAGGCACGAAAGCGUGGGGAGCAAACAGGAUUAGAUACCCCGGUAGUCC
rnacentral:rRNA from 1 species